rnacentral:tRNA from 1 species
GCCUCCUUAGCUCAGUGAUUAGAGCACUGGUCUUGUAAACCAGUGGUCAUGAGUUCGAAUCUCAUAGGGGGCU